CAGGCUGCCGCCUUGCUAAUGAUUGAUUUGAAUGAGUACGUACAGAGCGAGGGUCAAAAAGAUUAUAACUGGCCUGGGGUUUGAGAGUUGGGUCAGUUCCAACUGGCAGGGGAGAGCUGCACGGUGAGAUCAAGACGAAUGCUGGGUCGUGUCUAAAGAACUUUUCGUCAAUCUUCUGUGAUUAUUGUAUUUCAGUGAUGCUCAAAGCCAGAGGGCAAGGAUAGAGAGAAGAUCCACUGAAAUAUUUUAAAUUUCUGUGACCAUACUGUUUAUUAACCAUGAUAUUAUUGAUAAUGAUGUGCUGUAAUUACAGAUGCUAAUAUUGGUUGAAAGGAUUGAUGUGGUGGCUGAGGUAAAAGGGAAUCGUAAAGAUUCUGAUGGUGAUAUUGGGCUGUGUUGUUAGAUUGACCCACUCGAGGUGGGGACCGGACAUUUUGCAAACCCAGAAUUCUGGUUUGUCUUAAGUUGACCAAAAAGGAUAUCGCGAAGACUCAUGACUUGUUUGGCUGAAAUAGAAUUGAUUCUAUGGACUCUCAAGGACAUUGGUACCAUCAGCACAUAAAGGUUGCCAUGAACAAAAGGAGUGUACCGAUCUUGAUGGAUACGUUUUUAAUCCUACAAUGAAUGGUCAAAACAAGCUGUUGAAGGUCUCACUGCCAACUUGGCGGAUGUGACUAAAACAAUCUAAGUUUGGGAGCGAAGAAGACAAGUCUAACCGAUCUAACCUAAGAAGAGAUAUUCUCAAUCAACAUUGAUCGAACCAUGUUAAUAAGUCGGUUCCUAAUCACAGCCACUGUAUCAAUCUGAUUAAUUAAUUGCAUUGAACUUUAUUACUCAUGUCUUCAUUUCAUUUAUAGUCUUAUCCUUUUGUGAUUGCCGAAGCCAUAAUUUUAUUUACAAUGAUUGUGUCUUUAUGUUGUUUUUUUUAAUUUUUUUUAUUGGUCUUGGUGUAUUUGUGAGAUCUCAUUAUUAUCCUUAUUUCGGUCUCAAGGUGGGGACUUAACUAUUCCUGCUCGGGAAUCGAACGCUGGUGCUUUCACUUGCGAGGCGAGCGCUAUGGGACUGCACGUCAAGUUUAGUGGGCAAACACUGCAGCCAAUUUUUGCACAGGAUGUUUCCCCCAUCCCCAUCCACCCACCCACACAAACACACACAAUAAAAGUGCUAGUGGACCGAGAUGGAACGUUCCAAACUGCCCAGGUUGCCCAUCAAUGCCAUCCAUCGAUUACAGACGCCCAAAUAAAAACACCCUGAAA